GAAGAGCACUCCUACGGGAGGCAGCAGUGGGGAAUAUUGCACAAUGGGCGCAAGCCUGAUGCAGCCAUGCCGCGUGUAUGAAGAAGGCCUUCGGGUUGUAAAGUACUUUCAGCAGUGAGGAAGGUGGGUAUGUUAAUAGCAUAUUCAUUUGACGUUAGCUGCAGAAGAAGCACCGGCUAACUCCGUGCCAGCAGCCGCGGUAAUACGGAGGGUGCGAGCGUUAAUCGGAAUUACUGGGCGUAAAGCGCAUGCAGGUGGUUUGUUAAGUCAGAUGUGAAAGCCCGGGGCUCAACCUCGGAAUUGCAUUUGAAACUGGCAAACUAGAGUACUGUAGAGGGGGUAGAAUUUCAGGUGUAGCGGUGAAAUGCGUAGAGAUCUGAAGGAAUACCGGUGGCGAAGGCGGCCCCCCUGGACAGAUACUGACACUCAGAUGCGAAAGCGUGGGGAGCAAACAGGAUUAGAUACCCUGGUAG
rnacentral:rRNA from 1 species